CCAAAGGCUCUUUUAAGAGCCACCCACAUACUCUAUAAAAGAGCUU
rfam:Ficedula albicollis isolate OC2 chromosome 1A, whole genome shotgun sequence.